rnacentral:rRNA from 1 species
GUGUCAGCAGCCGCGGUAAGACGAACCGUGCGAACGUUGUUCGGAAUCACUGGGCUUAAAGGGCGCGUAGGCGGCUGCUCAAGUCCGGGGUGAAAGCCCCCAGCUUAACUGGGGAAGUGCCUUGGAUACUGAGCGGCUCGAGGGAGAUAGGGGUCGAGGGAACUUCUGGUGGAGCGGUGAAAUGCGUUGAUAUCAGAAGGAACGCCGGUGGCGAAAGCGCUCGACUGGAUCUCUACUGACGCUGAGGCGCGAAAGCCAGGGGAGCAAACGGGAUUAGAUACCCCGGUAGUCC